rnacentral:rRNA from 1 species
UACAGAGGGUGCAAGCGUUAAUCGGAAUUACUGGGCGUAAAGCGCGCGUAGGCGGUUUGUUAAGUCGGAUGUGAAAUCCCCGGGCUCAACCUGGGCACUGCAUCCGAUACUGGCUGACUAGAGUGUGGGAGAGGAAGGUAGAAUUCCAGGUGUAGCGGUGAAAUGCGUAGAGAUCUGGAGGAAUACCGAUGGCGAAGGCAGCCUUCUGGCCUGACACUGACGCUGAGGUGCGAAAGCGUGGUGCGCAAACAGGAUUAGAUACCCUGGUAGUCCAUGCCGUAAACGGUGUCAACUAGCCGUUGGGGACCUUGAGUCUUUAGUGGCGCAGCUAACGCGAUAAGUUGACCGCCUGGGGAGUACGGCCGCAAGGUUAAA